UUCACUUUCCGGAGCUCUUUCCCUUUCUCUCUCUAAAACCCUUGCCCUAAAGGUUUUCUAUGACUUCUCUCUAGAUUCCCAGCUCCUUGAACCAUAGGAAUUCGAUUUUGGUGCUACCCAAGCGUCCGCGGAGUAGAGGGCUUCAUUUCUACCGAACGUCAUCUUCAUUCCGAUCGGGGCAGGUUGAGUUCUUGUGUUGUCAAUGGUACUGUUAUGGCAGUUUCAGUAGUUGUGCUUGGAGAAACCCAGGUUUCAAAGUGACAGUAUGGUUUAUGGACGUAAUUCCAUGAUCCUCAAGGAGAUGAUACAUGGUGGUGCCCUGGUGGUGUGUAAAAUGAUUGCAUUGUAGCUCAGUUUUGGGGGUUUUCCUGAAACUACAAUGAUCAAUCAUUCUCAAGUAGAGAGGAUUGAAUCAUGUGGUGAGUAGUAGCAGGAGGUCCUAGUCUUGGAGGCUUCCAGUAUGCUUCAGGGCGUGGAACAGACUAACCUCGUGAGUAUGGUAGGGUGAAACUCAUUAGCAACGGCUUUGCAAAGCAGUAGAGGCCACCACGAGUGCAUAACCCGCCAUAGCUCGGUAAUCAUUCUAGUCCGGACGAGUCGGUUUAUAAAGUAACAAGUCUUGUGAUGUCAUCUUACCUUGUUUGAGUGACUUUUGCAUGUCAUGUGAGGUUGAAUAACAUGUUUUUUUAUAUCUAGCUCACCCUUGCUUGCUUGUGUUUGUGCAUGUUGUAUGUGUUUUCUUUUGCGAUGAUCAUCCACUUGGGUGGGAGCAGAUGGCGAGGAUGAUACUUUGGAAACAGCUCUUGACGGGGACGGCAGUGCUGCAGCUUAGAUUUGCUAGCUUUUAUUCCAUGAACUCAUAUUAUUUUGAAGAACUUUAGUGCAUUUAAAGUUUUAAAUUUUCUGUAAUUUUUAGGGAAAAACUCUAAUACUCUAGUUUUCAAUUUCACACUAUUCUAAGGAUGACUGUAAUCCUAAUUACUCUUGACUGCUUUCCUAUAUUAUGCAUGAUGACGUUUUUAUUAU